rnacentral:rRNA from 1 species
GUUAGSCGGUGCUUCUUCUGCGAGUAACGUCACAGUUGAUACGUAUUAGGCAUCAACCUUUCCUCCUCGCUGAAAGUGCUUUACAACCCGAAGGCCUUCUUCACACACGCGGCAUGGCUGCAUCAGGGUUUCCCCCAUUGUGCAAUAUUCCCCACUGCUGCCUCCCGUAGGAGUCUGGACCGUGUCUCAGUUCCAGUGUGGCUGAUCAUCCUCUCAGACCAGCUAGGGAUCGUCGCCUUGGUGAGCCAUUACCUCACCAACUAGCUAAUCCCACCUGGGCAUAUCCAAUCGCGCAAGGCCCGAAGGUCCCCUGCUUUCCCCCGUAGGGCGUAUGCGGUAUUAGCAGUCGUUUCCAACUGUUAUCCCCCUCGACUGGGCAAUUUCCCAGGCAUUACUCACCCGUCCGCCGCUCGCCGGCAAAAGUAGCAAGCUACUUUCCCGCUGCCGCUCGACUUGCAUGUGUUAGGCCUGCCGCCAGCGUUCAAUC